CUAUGGUUUAGCCCUGAUCCACAAGGACCAGUCACUGAGCUGUGCACUGCUGCUUCUACUAACUUGCUUUCUUCCACUGCUGGCUCACUCUUGAAUUCUUUCCUGAGCAAAGCCAGGAACCCACCCAUGCUAACCCCCGCUUUUGGGACUCGCCUGCCCUGCAUCAAGAACAUCAAUAAAAGAAGAAGAAUUCUGAAUGCCAAAAAAAUGCUACUGCUCACUUUUCCUCAAACUGUCUAUGGUGAAAGAGAAUUGUUCAUGGCCUGAAAUAAUGAAGGCAACAUGCACUGAGGAGUGAUUCUGCAUUGUCUCUAUAGGGUGCAUGGGAUAAUUGGUUCUGAGCUGGCUUUGAACUCCUUGGAUCAAGUGAUCCCUGCUCCUCAACCUCCCAAGCAGAUGUGACUACAGGCAUGCACCACCAUGCCUGGAUACGCCACCUCAGUAUUUUUAUGUUUGCUCUUUGUAUUAUACAUCUUUUUUCAUCUUUUAUAUUUAACCUAUUCAUGUAUUUGAAUCUAAAGUCUGCCUUCUGUAGACAGCAGACAAUAGGAUAUAUUUUUGUUUUUAAAUCCAGUCUGAUAAUUUUUGCCUUUUCAUUAUUUUAUCCCUUUACAUUUAAUGUUAUUAUAAUAUAGUUGAAUUUUUAUUUACCGUGUUACUUGUUUUCUAUAUGUUUCAUGGCUUUUUUGUUCCUUUAUUU
rnacentral:lncRNA from 1 species